CACUUUGUCCAAAAGUCAUCCACAACAUUAGACAGUGCACCAUGACGGGGAAUCAGUGGUGGACGAUGAGGGCCAGUUUUUGGCUCGCACCGUCCGACUGCCACAUGAUCCAUUUAUCGUCUAAAGUGCGAUAGCUUGUGGAGAGAAAAAUAUGUAUCUUUUAAGAACCUGUCUGGAAAAUCAUGAUAGAGAGGUGUCAGUAGAUGCAGAUAUUU
rnacentral:snoRNA from 1 species